AGUGCCAUAGAAAUUUCCCAGAAGUCUCUACAAAAAAAGUGUGCAUCAAUGCUCACUAUAUUGACGAAUAUAGACCACGAUGCAUAUGGCUCCUCUUGAAGUCUGGCGUCUGGCCUGCUGCAGGGGUCAGAUUCCCCCCCUCCUCCCCCUGCAGGGUUCCUGCUCAUAUGUUAAUUAGCCAGCAGUGACAAGCAAGAUGAGAGGAGUUAGAAUGAGGCCACAAAAAGACAGUUCAGCACUGAAAGACUGCUUUUUCAUUUUUUUUUUUUGUAUGUCUUUCAGUGUCGUGCGGUGAGGUUGAUGACUGGUGAGGCACCGAUUCCUCUGGAGUCAGAUUUACUAAAGAACUGAAAAUUUCACCUUUCAUCCAACGGCAGCUAACAGCUUAUAAAACACACAAGAGCAUAUUUGUCCUCCAGAGAAUAUUUCUUUUGUAGACAUGGAUAGAACACUCUUCUUGUGUAUAAAUUAUUCAUAUGUACUGAAAACAAAUUAAAGUAUACAGAUGUGUUCAGCACACAAAUUCUGGAGCUUUAUUUAAUCAGUUAUCAAUGUUGUCUGUGAAAAUGUUCAUAAAAAUAAAAUAAAUUAUCUUACUUA